GCCUGGUCCACUGGUAAUGGGUUAUCAGAACAUAUUAAUAUUAGUGUCACUGAAAUUGCUAUACAACCCCCACUGCUAAAUUUGACUGGUUCUUU
rnacentral:Y_RNA from 1 species